rnacentral:misc_RNA from 1 species
GCAAACUUGGUCAUUUAGAGGAAGUAAAAGUCGUAACAAGGUUUCCGUAGGUGAACCUGCGGAAGGAUCAUUAUUGAAUAAACUUGGUUGGGUUGUUGCUGACUUUUUGAAGUACGUGCACACCUACACCAAUUUUUCAACCACCUGUGCACCGUUGCAUAGAUCUCUUGAGUACUUGAGAAUUCAGCUGACUUCUCACAGUCGGUCAUUUUCGUAUUCGAGGUCUAUGUUUACAUUUAUCAUAACCUCAAUAGAAUGUAUCAGAAUGUGGCAUUUAUUAGGGCAUUACGUGCCUUUAAUCAAAUACAUAUAACAACUUUCAACAACGGAUCUCUUGGCUCUCGCAUCGAUGAAGAACGCAGC